UUCGCAAUGCCCGAAAGGGUGACGAAGCGACGCCGCGUGGGUGAGGAGGGCCUUCGGGUUGUAAAGCCCUGUCAGGAGUUAAGAAAUGUAAGUGCGCUAAUAUCGCAUUUAUUUGACGAAGGCUCCAAAGGAAGUCACGGCUAACUCUGUGCCAGCAGCCGCGGUAAUACAGAGGUGGCAAGCGUUGUUCGGAAUUAUUGGGCGUAAAGAGCACGUAGGUGGGUUUGUAAGUCAGAUGUGAAAGCCUUCUGUUCAACGGAAGAAUUGCAUCUGAAACUGCGAGUCUUGAGUGUAGGAGGGGAGAAUGGAACUUCUGGUGGAGCGGUGAAAUGCGUAGAUAUCAGAAGGAACGCCGGCGGCGAAAGCGAUUCUCUGGCCUAUUACUGACACUCAGUGUGCGAAAGCUAGGGGAGCAAACGGGAUUAGAUACCCCGGUAGUCCUAGCCGUAAACGAUGGGCACUAAGUAGAGGGGUUUU
rnacentral:rRNA from 2 species